rnacentral:rRNA from 1 species
GUGGGGGAGUAUUGCACAAUGGGGGGAACCCGGUCGAUGCAGCGACGCCGCGUGGGUGAAGAAGCGCCUCGGCGCGUAAAGCCCUGUCAGCAGGGAAGAAAAUGACGGUACCUGAAGAAGAAGCCCCGGCUAACUACGUGCC